UCCCACCGGUUCUCGUUAGAUCACCGAAGUCAAGCAUCAUUGGGCGCGGUCAGUACUUGGGUGGGUGACCACCUGGGAACACCGCGUGCCGUU
rnacentral:rRNA from 1 species